GACGAACGCUGGCGGCAUGCUUAACACAUGCAAGUCGAACGGCAAGGCCCUGCUUUUGUGGGGUGCUCGAGUGGCGAACGGGUGAGUAACACGUGAGUAACCUGCCCUUGACUUUGGGAUAACUUCAGGUAACUGGGGCUAAUCCCGGAUCGCAUCUCCUCCUGCAUUGUGGGCGUUGGAUCGUUUCGGCGGUUGGGGUUGGAUUCGCGGCUUAUCAGUUUGUUGGUGGGGUAGUGGCUUACCAAGGGUUUGGAGGGUAGGCGGCCUGGGAGGGUGAACGGGGACAUGGGGACUGAGAGACGGCCCAGAGGCGUACGGGAGGCAGCAGUGGGGAAUAUGGCACAAUGGGCGGAAGCCGGAGGCAGAAACGCCGGGGGCGGGAUGACGGCCUGCGGGGUGUAAACCGCUGUCGCCUGUGACGAAGCGGGAGUGACGGUAAUGGGUAAAGAAGCACCGGCUAACUACGUG
rnacentral:rRNA from 1 species